rnacentral:rRNA from 1 species
UUUACUGUGAAAAAAUUAGAGUGUUCAAAGCAGGCCUUUGCUCGAAUACAUUAGCAUGGAAUAAUAGAAUAGGACGUGCGGUUCUAUUUUGUUGGUUUCUAGGACCGCCGUAAUGAUUAAUAGGGAUAGUCGGGGGCGUCAGUAUUCAGCUGUCAGAGGUGAAAUUCUUGGAUUUGCUGAAGACUAACUACUGCGAAAGC